rnacentral:SRP_RNA from 1 species
CGCCGGGAACUGCACGGCAGUUGGCCGGUGAACCCCGCCAGGACCGGAAGGUAGCAACGGUAAGCUGGAUCUCUGGGCGAUGCAAUCUUCCCGGCGCCU